UCUGGCGCCUCUCGCCCCUCCCCCGCGCGUCCGCGGGUCUCCAUUUCCGAGUUCACCCCCAUUCCAGAGCCAAAUGGAGAGUCACGCUUUUCUGACUUGAGACUUAAGAAGUCCAGCAUGCUGGGGUCUCCCAUUACCAAGAUAGAGCCUGAUGUGAGCUCGCAGGCCCAAUUUAAAGCACCUUAGUGGAAUCCUGGGAAAUAAUAUGUACACUAUCACUCCACGUGCCAGUGUGUCACCUAGAGACAGCAAGCCAUCCAUCCUCACACCACCCUAGAAUCUCAUGGAAAGGAACAGAAUAACAGAGUCAAACCCAUUGCUCUCAACUGUCUACAGCAAGAUGCACAAUUUUUCUGUUUCUUCUAAAUAAUUUCCUGGCUUUCUGGCACUCCUAAAUUCAACAAAAUAGCCUGGAACACCCCACAAAGCCUGCAAUGUCCCUUCUCCGUGUUUGUCUUUCCUGAAUUGUGCUACGCCUGUGUACUUAACCCCUUAAAUGCUCGAAAGGGACCCUCCUGGUAAGGACUCAAGCAGGAGGAAAAUAGGGGUAAGAAAAGCCUGUGAGUAGUCUUCGUUUAUACCCAUGACUCAUGUCCUACUAAUGUCACCUCUCUCUUGACCCUGUCCCCAAAGGGAUGAGCCUGCAGUGGGAAGGAGUCAGUGAGCAGAGAAAUUGGAAUGAGUUACUUUCUUCUAGGGGUGGUUUCUUUGGUUUCCGUUUUGACAGAGCCUCAUAGGGCAGCCUGGUUUUGAACUUGUAACAGAGGGUGACCUUGGAGUCUUGAUCCUCCUGCUUAAACCUCCUAAAUGCUGAGAUUAUAGACAUGGGCCACCACACCCAUCACUGCUUCAUCAAGAGGUCACAAGAGAUGAGGAGGUGAUAAUCCCAAUUUUACUUUUCUAUUAACAUUUCUAUUGCAGUUUAUAAUCAGCUUUGUUUUACUAAAGAGUAAUUGGCCAAUAGCCUACUUGUGUGUGAAAGCUGCACACUUGAAUCCUUUGAUGAGUGUGUACAAUUGCCAUAAACUAUACUACUUAAGACAUAGAUUAUUUACCACUUGGAUUUUACUGUGAACGUAGAGAAUCUAGUUUGCACACACAGCCCUGUAUAACGUGAGUGGCCAGAGAGAUAUCACACUGCCUCAGAGAGUGCCAGAAAGGAUUCAGAGAAAGCAGAACUUCUUGUCCUCUGCACCUUGAUGGGCAUGUAUGUCCACGAGAGACAUUUUGCCAUUGGCACUCUUUCAGACUUCCAAGGCCGCAGCUGCCAGCUCUGCCUUGGGCAUCAUCAUGGUUGACUGUUUGCUUCGGAGUCAUGGUUCUGCUGUUUCAUGUCCAGGAUGUUGACUUUUCUUGGCAGCUGCUCUAACAGUCAUGCGUUUGGAAUGCCUGGCUUUUGAUGAAACAUUACAUCAAAGACCAAGGUAUCCAGUUUCACAGAUGAUUGCCCAGGCCUUUGGAUGAUGCAAUGCAAAGGACUCGGGUCUUAGCUAUAGCCAGAAUGAGCUCUGACCAACAGAAAUAGGAUUCAAGGGAAGGUGGCAUUUAUUCACUGUUUUUCCUACCUCAUUAGUUCACUGCCCAGUGGUGGCUUUCCAUGUUGCUGAAGUUGUUUCCCUGCAAUUCCUGCCGUUUCUCCCAU